AUGGAUCCCAUGAAGUUGGGCUCAAGCACAAGAUCGAUGUUUCUUUUCUUGCUGUUCAUAUUGGAGCAGCGUCCAAAGGGGAGGACGACCAUGCUGCAAGCUCGUGCACCCACUGCGUUACCAUGGUGUGCGACGGCGGAGACCGGUGCCGGCUGGGGCAGCGAUGCAGGAAACGGCACACCUCGUUGCUGGAACCGGCCGACUGAAAAGCUGCACCCGGCAUCCGAUGAUGCUGGAACCAGUAAUAAUUUUUGCUACCACAGGCGUUUGGUUUUGCUGGAACCACCGCCAAAUUUGCAAGUUUGCUACUACUAA
rnacentral:rRNA from 1 species